GUUGUUUUGUAGAAGGUGCUGGGGUUUGAGAGAUCAGUCGGACACUAUUGGCAGGGAGAGCACGUGUGUUUUUAUGAGAAUUAUGCCGAGAUAGGUAACAGAUGAGGAAGAAAUUUGGGCUUGAUGGAAGUAAUGGGGGCUGUCUGUGAAGCUUUGCAGCAGUACAGCCUAGGUAAUUUGCUGAGCUUGAUGGGUGUCAGGGUCAGUCCAAGUGAAAGUGGAGAGAGGCUGGGAUGAAGGGUGCAAAGGAAUAGUAAAGAAAGCAUGUUUGACAUCUAGAACAGAAUAAUGGGUUAUAGAGGCAGGUAUUGAGGAUAGGAGAGGAUAUGGGUUUGGCACCAUAGGGUGGAUAGGCAAAACAAUUUGGUUGAUAAGGCACAGAUCCGGAACUAACUUGUAAGGCUUGUCUGGUUUUAGGACAGGUAAAAUGGGAGAAUUGUAAGGAGAGUUUAUAGGCUUUAAAAGGCCAUGCUGUAGCAGGAGAGUGAUAACAGGCUUUAAUCUUUUUAAAGCGUGCUGUGGGAUGGGAUAUUGGCGUUGAGUGGGGUAAGGGUGAUUAGGUUUUAAUGAGAUGGUAAGGGGUGCAUGAUCAGUCGCCAAGGAGGGAGUAGAGGUAUCUUAUACUUGUGGGUUAAGGUGGGGGGAUACAAGAGGAGGACGCAAAGGAGGCUUUGGAUUGGGAAGAAGGGCAGCAAUGAGAUAUAGCUGUAGUCCAGGAAUAGUCAGGGAAGCAGAUAAUUUAGUUAAAGUGUCUCAGCCUAAUAAGGGAACUGGGCAGGUGGGGAUAACUAAAAAGGAGUGCUUAAAAGAGUAUUUUCUGAGUUGGCACUAGAGUUGGGGAGUUUUAAGAGGUUUAGAAGCCUGGCCGUCAAUACCCACAACAGUUAUGGAGGCAAGGGAAACAGGCCCUUGAAAAGAAGGUAAUGUGGAGUGGGUAGCCUCCAUAUUGAUUAAGAAGGGGACGGGCUUACCUUUCACUGUGAGAGUUACCCAAAGCUCGGCGUUCGUGAUGGUCUAGGGGGCUUCCGAGGCGAUCGGGCAGUGUCAGUCUUCAGCCGCUAAGCCGAGAAGAUCUGGGAAGGAGUCAGUCAGAGAGCCUUGGGCCAGAGUUCCAGGGGCUCUGGGAGUGGCUGCCAGGCAUGUGGAAAAUCAACCGGAACUUCAGCUGGUGGCUUAAUGAGAUAAUUUUGAGACCUGUUUCUCCUAGACUGUAAGAGGUAGAUGAAAUCCUCCACCACAUCAGAGGACACCUCUCAGAGUAUGGAAUAUAGUACAUCCUCCAGAAUCAGCUGGGAACAAUGACUGCCAAAAGUGUCCAGAGGAAGUCUGCAGGACCUGGGUCUCUCCUAGGUGGAAUAUUCUUUGAAAUCAGCAGGGAACAGAUGUCCACAUCCUGGACUCAGGAAUUUGCGCAGAAGGAGACACUCCAAGCAGUGCUCCGACACACAAGAGGCCCCAGGAAUUCGGAGACCUGAGUAACCCCAAGGAAGCCCUGGCCGCACUCAGGCUGCUGUUUUCAGGCAAAACUAAACAACUCAUAUCAGUCCAAGCACAAAGGAUACUCUCCAAGGAUCAUGGACAUGGAGGUUUGGAUUGAUUUGCAUUCUUUUGCCAAGGAAAGCAUUAACUGGCCCUUUGGGAAGCCCACCUAGUCAAAGGCUAAAAGCUUUAUUGUGCCUGGAGGACAAUCUGCACUUCCGCUCCUUCGGGACUCACCUACUCUCGUGGUAAUUCCAUGCCAAACCACAACCUCCUAGGAAAUGGAUCUGACUCUGAGUCAGAGAUGCGUUCCAAGUCCUAGGGCUAUUGGCCCCGCCAACUUAUAUCCUCACCCCUUGACUGCCAUUUCUCUCUUUUGCCAAUACUGACACUAAUUGUAGAGUUCCCCAACUCCACGCUGCCACUUGCUUAUUUCGUUAUUAUUGCUCAACCUGUGUGACUAUUUUGGAGGACAGAGAUUCCUAGGUCUCUGUAUCUGGAUCUUUCUCUAAGCUGGCAAGUAACCUGCUUUAUCUAACCUUCCUACUGUCAGUGACCCAAGCAGUAGAAGUCACCUCCCUAAUUGUCUUCUAUGAGUUGGAAACCAAAUAAAAAGAUUUAUUAGAAAUA